rnacentral:rRNA from 1 species
UUGUUUCCCCCUACACAUAAAUAAUUACAAAACAAAAUUAUUCGCCAGAGUACUACCGGCAAUAGCCCGAAACUCAAAGGACUUGGCGGUGCUUUAUACCCCUCUAGAGGAGCCUGUUCUAUAAUCGAUAAACCCCGAUUAACCUCACCAAUCCUUGCUAAUACAGUUUAUAUACCGCCAUCUUCAGCAAACCCUAAAAAGGAACAAAAGUAAGCUCAAUCAUGACACAUAAAGACGUUAGGUCAAGGUGUAACCUAUGGAAUGGGAAGAAAUGGGCUACAUUUUCUACCCAAGAAUAUUUAAUACGAAAGCCAUUAUGAAACUAAUGGCCAAAGGAGGAUUUAGCAGUAAACUAAGAAUAGAGUGCUUAGUUUGAAUCAGGCGGGAAGCACGCACG